rnacentral:rRNA from 1 species
UCACGGGUUGUUGCUGGUCCUCAACGGGGANAUGUGCACGCUCUGUUUACACAUCCACUCACACCUGUGCACCCUCCGUAGUUCUGUGGUCUGGGGGACCCUGUCUUCCUGCCGUGGUUCUACGUCUUUACACACACACUGUAAUAAAGUCUUAUGGAAUGUAUGCCGCGUCUAACGCAAUACAAUACAACUUUCAGCAACGGAUCUCUUGGCUCUCGCAUCGAUGAAGAACGCAGCGAAAUGCGAUAAGUAAUGUGAAUUGCAGAAUUCAGUGAAUCAUCGAAUCUUUGAACGCACCUUGCGCCCCUUGGCUAUUCCGAGGGGCAUGCCUGUUUGAGUAUCAUGAACACCUCAACUCUCAUGGUUUGCCGUGAUGAGCUUGGACUCUGGGGGUUUUGCUGGCCUGCGGUCGGCUCCCCUCAAAUGAAUCAGCCUCCCAGUGUUUGGUGGCAUCACGGGUGUGAUAAAUAUCUACGCUCGCAGUUGUCCGCCAGGUAACCUUUGGUAACAAAGGUUCGCUGGAGCUCACAGAUGUCUCUCCUCAGCGAGGACAGCUUUUUGAACGUUCGAUCUCAAAUCAGGUAGGACUACCCGCUGAACUUAAGCAUAUCAAUAAGCGGAGGAAAAGAAACUAACAAGGAUUCCCCUAGUAACUGCGAGUGAAGCGGGAAGAGCUCAAAUUUAAAAUCUGGCGUGCCUCUGGUCGUCCGAGUUGUAGUCUAGAGAAGCGUUUUCCGUGCUGGACCGUGUAC